GACGAACGCUGGCGGCGUGCUUAACACAUGCAAGUCGAACGAUGAAGCCGGAGCUUGCUCUGGUGAAUUAGUGGCGAACGGGUGAGUAACACGUGAGUAACCUGCCCUUGACUCUGGGAUAACUGCGGGAAACUGUAGCUAAUACCGGAUACGACCCUCGGAGGCAUCUCCUGGGGGUGGAAAGAAUUUCGGUCAAGGAUGGACUCGCGGCCUAUCAGCUAGUUGGUGAGGUAAAGGCUCACCAAGGCGACGACGGGUAGCCGGCCUGAGAGGGUGACCGGCCACGCUGGGACUGAGACACGGCCCAAACUCCUACGGGAGGCAGCAGUGGGGAAUAUUGCACAAUGGGCGCAAGCCUGAUGCAGCAACGCCGCGUGAGGGAUGACGGCCUUCGGGUUGUAAACCUCUUUUAGCAGGGAAGAAGCGAAAGUGACGGUACCUGCAGAAAAAGCACCGGCUAGCUACGUGCCAGCCGCCGCCGUAA
rnacentral:rRNA from 1 species